rnacentral:rRNA from 1 species
GUUAGGAAUAUUGGACAAUGGGCGCAAGCCUGAUCCAGCCAUGCCGCGUGAACGAUGAAGGCCUUCGGGUUGUAAAGUUCUUUAGCCGAUGAUUAUAAUGACUGUAGUCGGAAAAUAAGCCCCGGCUAACUUCGUGCCAGCAGCCGCGGUAAUACGAAGGGGGCGAGCGUUAUUCGGAAUCACUGGGCGUAAAGCGUGCGUAGGCGGUCUCGUAAGUUAGGAGUGAAAGCCCAGGGCUCAACAUUGGAAUUGCUAUUAAUACUGCAAGGCUAGAAUCUCGGAGAGGAUAGCGGAAUUUCCAGUGUAGCAGUGAAAUGCGUAGAUAUUGGAAGGAACACCAGUGGCGUAAGCGGCUAUCUGGACGAGUAUUGACGCUGAGGCACGAAAGCGUGGGGAUCAAACAGGAUUAGAAACCCCGGUAGUCC